UACCAGCACCCCGAGUGGUCGGGACGAUUAUUGGGCCUAAAGCAUCCGUAGCCGGUCAUGCAAGUCUUCCGUUAAAUCCAGCCGCUCAACGGUUGGGCUGCGGAGGAUACUACGUGGCUAGGAGGCGGGAGAGGCAAGCGGUACUCAGUGGGUAGGGGUAAAAUCCUUUGAUCCAUUGAAGACCACCAGUGGCGAAGGCGGCUUGCCAGAACGCGCUCGACGGUGAGGGAUGAAAGCUGGGGGGAGCAAACCAGG
rnacentral:rRNA from 1 species